rnacentral:rRNA from 2 species
UAAGCGACUAAGCGUACACGGUGGAUGCCCUGGCAGUCAGAGGCGAUGAAGGACGUGCUAAUCUGCGAUAAGCGUCGGUAAGGUGAUAUGAACCGUUAUAACCGGCGAUUUCCGAAUGGGGAAACCCAGUGUGUUUCGACACACUAUCAUUAACUGAAUCCAUAGGUUAAUGAGGCGAACCGGGGGAACUGAAACAUCUAAGUACCCCGAGGAAAAGAAAUCAACCGAGAUUCCCCCAGUAGCGGCGAGCGAACGGGGAGGAGCCCAGAGCCUGAAUCAGUGUGUGUGUUAGUGGAAGCGUCUGGAAAGGCGCGCGAUACAGGGUGACAGCCCCGUACACAAAAAUGCACAUGCUGUGAGCUCGAUGAGUAGGGCGGGACACGUGGUAUCCUGUCUGAAUAUGGGGGGACCAUCCUCCAAGGCUAAAUACUCCUGACUGACCGAUAGUGAACCAGUACCGUGAGGGAAAGGCGAAAAGAACCCCGGCGAGGGGAGUGAAAAAGAACCUGAAACCGUGUACGUACAAGCAGUGGGAGCACAGAGCAAUCUGUGUGACUGCGUACCUUUUGUAUAAUGGGUCAGCGACUUAUAUUCUGUAGCAAGGUUAACCGAAUAGGGGAGCCGAAGGGAAACCGAGUCUUAACUGGGCGUUAAGUUGCAGGGUAUAGACCCGAAACCCGGUGAUCUAGCCAUGGGCAGGUUGAAGGUUGGGUAACACUAACUGGAGGACCGAACCGACUAAUGUUGAAAAAUUAGCGGAUGACUUGUGGCUGGGGGUGAAAGGCCAAUCAAACCGGGAGAUAGCUGGUUCUCCCCGAAAGCUAUUUAGGUAGCGCCUCGUGAAUUCAUCUCCGGGGGUAGAGCACUGUUUCGGCAAGGGGGUCAUCCCGACUUACCAACCCGAUGCAAACUGCGAAUACCGGAGAAUGUUAUCACGGGAGACACACGGCGGGUGCUAACGUCCGUCGUGAAGAGGGAAACAACCCAGACCGCCAGCUAAGGUCCCAAAGUCAUGGUUAAGUGGGAAACGAUGUGGGAAGGCCCAGACAGCCAGGAUGUUGGCUUAGAAGCAGCCAUCAUUUAAAGAAAGCGUAAUAGCUCACUGGUCGAGUCGGCCUGCGCGGAAGAUGUAACGGGGCUAAACCAUGCACCGAAGCUGCGGCAGCGACACUGUGUGUUGUUGGGUAGGGGAGCGUUCUGUAAGCCUGUGAAGGUGUGCUGUGAGGCAUGCUGGAGGUAUCAGAAGUGCGAAUGCUGACAUAAGUAACGAUAAAGCGGGUGAAAAGCCCGCUCGCCGGAAGACCAAGGGUUCCUGUCCAACGUUAAUCGGGGCAGGGUGAGUCGACCCCUAAGGCGAGGCCGAAAGGCGUAGUCGAUGGGAAACAGGUUAAUAUUCCUGUACUUGGUGUUACUGCGAAGGGGGGACGGAGAAGGCUAUGUUGGCCGGGCGACGGUUGUCCCGGUUUAAGCGUGUAGGCUGGUUUUCCAGGCAAAUCCGGAAAAUCAAGGCUGAGGCGUGAUGACGAGGCACUACGGUGCUGAAGCAACAAAUGCCCUGCUUCCAGGAAAAGCCUCUAAGCAUCAGGUAACAUCAAAUCGUACCCCAAACCGACACAGGUGGUCAGGUAGAGAAUACCAAGGCGCUUGAGAGAACUCGGGUGAAGGAACUAGGCAAAAUGGUGCCGUAACUUCGGGAGAAGGCACGCUGAUAUGUAGGUGAAGUCCCUCGCGGAUGGAGCUGAAAUCAGUCGAAGAUACCAGCUGGCUGCAACUGUUUAUUAAAAACACAGCACUGUGCAAACACGAAAGUGGACGUAUACGGUGUGACGCCUGCCCGGUGCCGGAAGGUUAAUUGAUGGGGUCAGCGCAAGCGAAGCUCUUGAUCGAAGCCCCGGUAAACGGCGGCCGUAACUAUAACGGUCCUAAGGUAGCGAAAUUCCUUGUCGGGUAAGUUCCGACCUGCACGAAUGGCGUAAUGAUGGCCAGGCUGUCUCCACCCGAGACUCAGUGAAAUUGAACUCGCUGUGAAGAUGCAGUGUACCCGCGGCAAGACGGAAAGACCCCGUGAACCUUUACUAUAGCUUGACACUGAACAUUGAGCCUUGAUGUGUAGGAUAGGUGGGAGGCUUUGAAGUGUGGACGCCAGUCUGCAUGGAGCCGACCUUGAAAUACCACCCUUUAAUGUUUGAUGUUCUAACGUGGACCCGUGAUCCGGGUUGCGGACAGUGUCUGGUGGGUAGUUUGACUGGGGCGGUCUCCUCCUAAAGAGUAACGGAGGAGCACGAAGGUUGGCUAAUCCUGGUCGGACAUCAGGAGGUUAGUGCAAUGGCAUAAGCCAGCUUGACUGCGAGCGUGACGGCGCGAGCAGGUGCGAAAGCAGGUCAUAGUGAUCCGGUGGUUCUGAAUGGAAGGGCCAUCGCUCAACGGAUAAAAGGUACUCCGGGGAUAACAGGCUGAUACCGCCCAAGAGUUCAUAUCGACGGCGGUGUUUGGCACCUCGAUGUCGGCUCAUCACAUCCUGGGGCUGAAGUAGGUCCCAAGGGUAUGGCUGUUCGCCAUUUAAAGUGGUACGCGAGCUGGGUUUAGAACGUCGUGAGACAGUUCGGUCCCUAUCUGCCGUGGGCGCUGGAGAACUGAGGGGGGCUGCUCCUAGUACGAGAGGACCGGAGUGGACGCAUCACUGGUGUUCGGGUUGUCAUGCCAAUGGCACUGCCCGGUAGCUAAAUGCGGAAGAGAUAAGUGCUGAAAGCAUCUAAGCACGAAACUUGCCCCGAGAUGAGUUCUCCCUGACCCUUUAAGGGUCCUGAAGGAACGUUGAAGACGACGACGUUGAUAGGCCGGGUGUGUAAGCGCAGCGAUGCGUUGAGCUAACCGGUACUAAUGAACCGUGAGGCUUAACCU